CACCUUGGUCAUGAAUCAGACACAGGUGUGUGUGAUGAGGACGCCGAGAAGGAAUUGUUUUUUUUACCGGUCGCUCCCAAGCAAAAGCUAUAUGCAAAGAAGAUUAAGUUUGUUUUCGCUUUAGUGUAUUGAUGUUGAGCUAAGGCGUCAGUUUGUGAAUACUUUGAUGGAGGCGUCGUUUAUUUAGUUACGAGCGUAACGUGCUGCACAUCAGCAUGCUGCAACCCAACCAACCCCAGACCUUCAAUCAACCCAACUAACAACAGGUGCAGAGUUCCUCGAGGUGUCAACUGUUUGGAGAAAGCUGUUGCUGAGCCUGCUGAUCGUGGAACGGAGAGUCCUGUAGCGCUACCCAAAGGGCAGGAUGGAAAACGGUCAGUGGCCAAGUCAGCUACAAUGAUGUUUCCGUUGGCGUCUACGGCCACACCAGUGGGAGCAUUGAACUGGCCAUUGCCUUCACCAUGAGAGCCAAAUUUGAACAAGAACUCUCCAUCUGCAUUGUACACCUGGGACAUAAACCACACCUUUAGGACCCAUGAGCCGGCCUGCGCCAAUCUUAUUCUGCGAGGGAGGAAGACGAAGAAGAUUUUAGCAGUAAUUGUGUGGUGUUGCCCAGUUGCUGCAUGGCGGAGGCCCUCUCCUGUGGCGACAGAGGUGUGAGCCACAGCGGCUGUGGUGAGGAGAACUCCCAGGUUCUGGAUGGAGCGCCGCAGACCUUCAGUCUCCACCUA